ensembl:lncRNA
UUUCAGGUUUUCAAAUAUCAAUUCAUAACCUUAACGAAAAAGACAGAUGCAAAAUGAAUGUGCCUGUGCUUGCGCAUAUCACAUUAUCACACAUUUCACAUUAUCUCUGGUCAUCUCUGGUCACAAGAGAGAGACUAAAAGGGCUUAUUUUGCCCUUAAUCCAUCCCUUAGUUCCUCUGUUUUUCUAGAUGAGAUACCUUGUUCUAGAAAGUUUCAUCUCAGAAAGAUAUAUUCUAAAAUAACAUGCUAGAAGAUCUUGUUUUGUGUUCUGUUUGUACCUACACUUACCCCUGUUUAGUAAUAAUUAGGUCAGAGCAUAGUUCAGGCCGAUGAAAUGCUUUUCUCCUUAAGUCAACCAUCUACCUUCAUGGUCACUCUUUUUUUUUUUUUUUUUUAAUGCUUGUUUUAGAGUUAGCCUUCAGUGAGAUAAAGUAAAAUAUUUUUAGUCAGUUUUAUUUGGUAAGCAAUUCUGACUUGACUGAAUUAAGCUAAAGUUUGCGGCAAGUCAACAAAGCUAACUUUAUUUUAUAUAUUUAAUUAUUUUACUGGGAGAGCCAAGGAGGUUUUAGAUAUCUUGAGAAGCAAAUGGACAAUUAAACUCUACAGAAAUUCAAAAUUGCCUGCUGAUUCUCAGUGCUAAGCAAACAUAAGCUCUAAUUUCUCUUCUUUUUUUUUCCUGAUAUUCUGUUCCUGUGCUCACACUCAGACAUUUAGAUCUUCAUACACAGAAGCACUUGGUUUGUAUAUCUACCUAGAUUUUGGGCCCUGCUAAGAACACCAAGGCAGCUGUAGCCACGCCACCAAGCCCAUCUUGCUGCCUGUGACAGUGGCCUGGGGAAGGACUUGACACCCCCUACAAACAUUUUCCAGACCUUUGGCUUGUUUGCAGCUUGGAGGCUCUCUGAUACUUUCGCACUUGUUUGCAAAAUGCCAACGAGCCCAGAGACCAGAGUUCAGAUCUCACCUAGACCCAAGUCAGUGUUCUGAGGACAAGGCUUACUCAUUCAAAGUCAAAUGGCUUAAUAAAGGAGGGUGGAGGCUAUGUUCUCCAGACUGCCUGAGCACUUGGCUCCAAGCUGAGAGCUGUGGGUACGAAUCCCUGCUGGAAAUCUGGACCUGCAGUGCUUUCAGCGCUGAUCUGCUGGAGUCAGCCACACCUUGCAGCACCUCAGAGAUGGGUCCCAGCCUGGGCCUAGCUGAAUUUCUUCUUGGUUGCCUAAAAUGUGAUUCUCUACUCAGUGGACUCAUUUUGACAGCCUUUCCAAGGCUGUCAGUACAAGGCAAACAAAAUCAUGCCUUGCCCUUGAUUCUGAGAUGGUUGAAUUGCAGGUCAGCUCCAGUGUUGGGCUAUUAUCACAGUGCUAAAUUUGAUCUGGUGAGUCCUGCUGGGGUAAAGAGGAUAUUAGUUCAUGCUCACUCUGCUGACGUGGCUGCGCAAUUUCUGGUCAGCAGUACAAGAAGCACAAGAGCGAGGCUGUGUAGCAUAGCCUGAGGUAUCUAACUCUUCUGUCAUGACGUAUGAAGCCUAAAGUGCAUACCUCAGAGCUCUAGCUCCCACACGUCUAUGAGAAGUGUGCAGAUAUAGUCACAUACAUAGCAUGAUGCGUCACCAUUGCCUCAGUAAUCUGCAAAGCAGGUUAUUGUCAAAGCUAAUGUUCAGGGCCAAGAGAGUUGUCACUGCGGUUACUUACACUGAUGCAUGCACCAGAGAUCUGUCUUUUCUUUUUCUUCCUUUUUUUUUUUUUUUCUUUUUUUUUUCUUCCCAUAGUCACCACAUAAUUUCCACCCAGUCUUCUCAAAUCUUAAUGCUCUGUUCAAAUACGUGCUUUGUGUGCCUCUGGUUUCACCAUGGUGGAUUGUCAUGCGUGGCAGCACUGCAGACUUGUGUAGUUGAAUGUGUAGAGAAAAAGCUGUAAAGAGAACAGAAAAAAGCAUGAACAACGAUGUCAGUUAGUAGAAUUUAAUUAUAACUUAGAAGCAAAGCUAGUUGACUGAGCUUGUGUUAAACGGGUUUGGAGAACCAGGUGAUCUAAUAGCUCUUUGAUUUUUCAGGUAAGAAACUAGUGAAGGACGUGAUUCUCUUAAGAGCACGUGCUCCUCCUCUUCACUGUGGCUAAUUUUGUAUCUCUGUGACUAUUUCUAUGUAUUUUGCUUGUCUGAAAUCUACUGACAACAGUAAUUAGGUGAAUACUACUUUUUUUUUUUUCUUGGUGCGUGUGUUACAAAGGGCAAUACUGAAUCAGAGAGAAGACAUAUCUUGCUAAGGUUCUGAGCUCCAAGAGUAAGUCAAAGACUUCAAGAUUAGCUAUUUAUGUGCUACUUGGACUUUCAAGUAACCUUUUUUUCACUCAGAAGGGCAGUUAGGCCACCAUUAUGUUGUUCUAGCUGACUCCAAACCCACUUAUCCACUUCAAGGUAUGAAAUGAUCAAAUCUUAGAAUGAGUGCAGCAGUCAAAACACCAAGUUUUUGGUGUCUCUACUCUGCUCAAAUAAUGGCACUGACGUUUUAAAUGAAAUAGUUUGACAGCUAUGAAGGUUUGUUUUUCAGGUGGAGCAGCUUAGCAGGGUAGCUGCAAGGGAAUUUUGCAGGAUGGAUCAGAGAGUAGUACUUCCAGCACCAAGGCCAUCUGCUGGCAUUGUCACUGUAAUACUGUCUGAGGAGCAACUAUCGUUACUACAGAUAUAUAGUAUGAAAUAAUCUUACUGUUAAGGAGAGAGAGACAGAAGAAAACUAUUAUUUAGGCUUGCUUAAUUUUUGAAGCUCCCCUCAACUUUUUGAGCUUCAGCCUUACCCUGACAAAGAAACUCCCAUCACAGCUGUAUGUGAGUCAGAAGUCCGGGUAUAUUUAGCUAAUGCUUGUAGAAGUUGCGCCACCUGGAGCCAGUUACACAGAACGGAAAAUACCAAAUGUUUUCUAAUGACCUGUGAUGAAAACAUACAUUUUGCCUGUCCAAGUAAAGCUUGAAGACAGCAAAGCGUGUUCCUGCUGCUUGCAAGAAGAGAAUUAUAAUAAAAUUAGCACUUUGUCGCUGCCAGCAUUUCAUAUGGAGUUCUUUAUAAAUAUUCAUAUAAAUGACCCAUCUUGCUAAUUAAGUAGUUGUCUCUAUACAGAGAAUGGUACUUCGUGGUAUGCAAUGGGUGUUAAUCUCCCCCCAGAAGUUAAGUACAAGGCGCUUUUAUGGUCUGUGAUCUUAACUGUGCUAGGAGCUUCAUUCAGAUACAUAACUUGUCCUGCCUAGAAUUCAGAGUAAGAUCAAACGAUAAAGGUCAACCUCAGUAAACAUUUGCCCAUAGAAAUGGCAUUAAAUAGCUAUGGUGUUCCUCCUCAUAUCCAUCAUGCUGUGUUUUGUGGAAGACUGAACUGAAAUUCAAUUUGCCUGUUGAUGUUUACACCAGCAGCUGUUUUGAGAAUUUCAGCAUUCAUUUCAUCAAGCAAGUAAAUAUUUACUACUCUGUUUCUCCCAAAGCAGCAAUGGCUAUUAAAUGAUAACAAAAGAAGUUGUGGUAUUUGUGCAGAAAUGAAUAAAUCUCCAAUUUUUCUCCCAGGAGUCACCUGACGAGGCAGAAAAAGUGAUUAAAUGUGCAUUUAAGCAUAUUUACAUGGAUGCACACCUUUGAGAAGCCUACUCUGUGGUAGUUAAGAAUCACAGAUGUUGAUUGCAGUGCCUACCUUGUUCUGUUACAACUGCUAUUUCUGUUGACAAAAAAGGCGAGUGCAGGUUAUAGCUUUUAGUUUCCAUUAGUACAUGUAAAAGAGACCGAUGUGAAGAAGUCUGUUCUUCCUUUUGUUUAUAUAAGGGUUUGCUCACUUUCAGUGUGCUGUACCAGAGAAAGUCCACAGAGAACAGUAAUACUCAGCAGGUGCCAAUAAGGACAGAAUCGGAGAGCUAAUUUAAUCUGCUUCUCAGGUUGCUGAAGGUAGCAGCUGGAAUUCCACUAAUUAUCUCCUUCCCAUCUUAGCUUAUAAAAUCAGACCCACUGCAACUCAGCUUAUGAGAUGCGAUUAAACUGGUAUUGCUGGAAGAUGCUUUUAUAUGACACAAACAAACAAACAAACAAACACUGUAUGUUCUUUUUCCUGAUGCGUGCAUAUGGCUGGUUCUGCAACACUGCCAUGCUGUCUUUGCUAGGACAGAGAGUGACUUUUACCUCCUAACCUUGAU